rnacentral:tRNA from 1 species
GCCGACAUCGCAUAAUCCGGUGAGUGCACCGGUCUCGAAAACCGGAGCCCGCAAGGGUUUGGAGGUUCAAAUCCUCCUGUCGGCG